rnacentral:lncRNA from 1 species
ACAACUUGGGGUGCACUGAGGCUCUGCAGGGCCCUGAACCCCGUUUUGGGCUUUUAUUGUCCCUUUAUUGUCCCUUUAUUGUCCCUUUAUUGUCCCUUUAUUGUCCUUUUAUUGUCCUUUUAUUGUCCCUUUAUUGUCCUUUUAUUGUCCUUUUAUUGUCCUUUUAUUGUCCCUUUAUUGUCCCUUUAUUGUCCUUUUAUUGUCCCUUUUUGUGCUUUUUUAUCCUUUUUUUGUCCCAUUUUCGUCCCUUUUUGCCCAUUUUUGUCCCUUUUUGUCCCUUUUUGUCCCUUUUUGUCCCUUUUUGUCCCUUUUUGUCUCAUUUCUACCCCAUUUUGUCCCAUUUUUGUCCAUUUCCAUCCCAUUUUUACCCCUUUUUUGUCCAUUUUUGUCCGUUUUUAUCCCAUUUUUGUCUGAUUUUUGCCCCAUUUUGUCUCAUUUUUGUCACAUUCCCAUUUUUGUCAUUUUUGUCCCUUUUUUUCCCAUUUUUAUCCCAUUUUUGUCCCAUUUUUUCCCAUUUUUGUCACUUUUUGUCUCAUUUCUGUCCCAUUUUUUUCCAUUCUUGUCCCUUUUUUUCCCAUUUUUAUCCCAUUUUUGUCCCAUUUUUUCCCAUUUUUGUCACUUUUUGUCUCAUUUCUGUCCCAUUUUUUUCCAUUCUUGUCACUUUUUGUCCAUUUUUGUCCCUUUUUAUCUCAUUUUUCCCCUUUUUGUCCCAUUUUUGUCCAUUUUUGUUCAUUUUCAUCCCAUUUUUUCCCCUUUUUAUCCCAUUUUUGUCCCAUUUCUGCCCCAUUUUGCCUCAUUUUUGCCACUUUCUACCCCAUUUUUGUCACUUUUUAUCCAUUUUUGUCACUUUUUAUCCAUUUUUGUCACUUUUUGUCUCAUUUCUGUCCCAUUUUGUCUCAUUUUUGUCACUUUUUUCCCUUUUUUGUCCAUUCUUGUCCAUUUUUGUCCCUUUUUGUCCCUUCUUUCCCCAUUUUUGUCCAUUUUUGUCACUUUUUAUCCCAUUUUUGUCCAUUUUCAUCCCAUUUUUCCUCUUUUUGUCCCAUUUUUGUCCCUUUUUAUCCAUUUUUGUCCCUUUUUGUCCCUUUCUGUCCCUUUUUGUCUCAUUUCUACCCCAUUUUUGUCCAUUUUUGUCCAUUUUUGUCCAUUUUCAUCCCAUUUUUCCUCUUUUUGUCCCAUUUUUGUCACUUUUUGUUUCAUUUCUGUCCCAUUUUUUUCCAUUUUUGUCCCAUUUUGUCCCAUUUUUUCCCCUUUUUUUCCCUUUUUUUCCCUUUUUUGCCCUUUUUUGCCCUUUUUUACCCUUUUUAUCCAUUUUUGUCCCAUUUUUGUCAUUUUUUGUCUCAUUUCUGUCCCAUUUUUUUCCAUUUUUUUCCCUUUUUAUCCAUUUUUAUCUUUUUUUACCCCAUUUUUCCCCAUUUUUUCCCAUUUUUGUCCCUUUUUGUCCCUUUUUAUCCAUUUUUGUCGCAUUUUUGUCACUUUUUGUCUCAUUUCUGCCCCAUUUUGUCCCAUUUUUGUCCCUUUUUUGCCCUUUUUUGCCCUUUUAAUCCAUUUUUGUCCCUUUUUGUCACUUUUUUUCCCAUUUUUGUCCCUUUUUUGCCCAUCUUUGUCCCAUUUUUUCCCCUUUUUUUCCCUUUUUGUCCAUUUUUGUCACUUUUUGACUCAUUUCUGUCCCUUUUCUGUCCCUUUUUGCCCAUUUUUGUCCCUUUUUAUCCAUUUUUGUCCCAUUUUUGUCACUUUUUGUCUCAUUUCUGUCCCUUUUUGUCCCUUUUUUCCCAUUUUUGUCCCUUUUUGCCCUUUUUUUCCCAUUUUUGUCCCUUUUUGCCCAUUUUUGUCCCUUUUCACCCCAAUUUCCCCCCAGGUCGGGCUGUUCACGGAGAUCGGGCCGAUGUCCUGCUUCAUCUCGCGCCACGUGAGACCCCAA